AUGGCGAGGCAUCGCCUCCUCGCCGUGCUCCUCAUCGGGAUAGUUGCAGCCUUCGCCUUCAACCAAGCAGCUGCGGCUGGCCGAGGCCUUGCUGCCGUCGAGAAGUUUGCAGAGCUAGAGCCAAAGCCAGAAUCCAAACCAGAGCCAAUGGCCAAACCUAUGCCACACCCAGAGCCAGAGCCUUGCAAACCUGAACCGAUGCCCAAACCCAAACCAAAGCCCGAACCAAAGCCCGGACAGAAGCCCGAACCAGAACCCAAGCCCAAGCCGAUGCCAAAACCAAAGCCCAACCCCUGCUCCAAACCAAAGCCAGGUCCUAAGCCCGAGCCAAUGCCGAAACCCGAACCAAAGCCGGAGCCCAAGCCUAAACCUGAACCGAAACCGAAGCCGCCUCCUAAGUGCAAACCACCGACAGCUCACAGUUGA
rnacentral:rRNA from 1 species